rnacentral:rRNA from 1 species
AGUGAACGCUGGCGGUAGGCCUAACACAUGCAAGUCGAACGGCCGCACAGUAAGAGCUUGCUCUUACGGGUGGCGAGUGGCGGACGGGUGAGGAAUACAUCGGAAUCUACUUUUUCGUGGGGGAUAACGUAGGGAAACUUACGCUACUACCGCAUACGACCUACGGGUGAAAUCAGGGGAUCUUCGGACCUUGCGCGAUUGAAUGAGCCGAUGUCGGAUUAGCUAGUUGGCGGGGUAAAGGCCCACCAAGGCGACGAUCCGUAGCUGGUCUGAGAGGAUGAUCAGCCACACUGGAACUGAGACACGGUCCAGACUCCUAGGGGAGGAAGCAGUGGGGAAUAUUGGACAAGGGGCGAAAGCCUGAUCCAGCUAUACCGGGUAGGUGAAGAAGGCCUUCGGGUUGUAAAGCCCUUUUGUUGGGAAAGAAAAGCAGCAGGUUAAUACCGCGCUGUUCUGACGGUACCAAAAGAAUAAGCACCGGCUAACUUCGU